GCAGUUUGCCGGUCUGCCGCUCAUCCGCAAGGAUGGGAGGAACGUCCGGGCAACACAGGGCACCAUACUACUUAACGGGUAGCUGUUCGCGAGGGCAGAGUAACGUAACAGAAAACAACCGCCCCCUCGGGGGUAAGGGUGAAAAGGUGAGGUGAGAGCUCACCGGGUUUCGCAGCAAUGCGAGAUGCCGUACGUCUUAUGGGUUGUAAGGUCAUGUAUACCGGCGCAUGUAGGGCUGCCCGCCCGAUGCCGGGGGGUAGACCGCUAGAGCUUUGGUGAGAGCCAGAGUCGAGAUAAAUGGCAGACGCUUCUCCCUCGGGGGAAGUACAGAACCCGGCUUACAGGCAAACUGCAAUU
rnacentral:RNase_P_RNA from 1 species